CCUGGCCAAGAUAGUAAAUCAAAAACAAUAAUUUUAUUCUGGUGUUGGCUGAGGUUGUGAACCAGUAAGGUCCCAAAGGCUGCAGUGUAGUGUUAUCUAUCAUGUCUAGUCCCUAGGGAAACCAUAUGCAUCCUGGAGAAUGACUGUAGAGUUCCCUCAAGCCAAAAGAGCAGAAUGAGCAAGAACUGGUUAGCAUACUAGAGGCCUUGGUGGUAAGACACAUGUACUCCUGAGAGUGAGAAGAGAACCUGGUGAAGAUUCAAAAACCUGGCACUUCAGUAAAGAUUCUCGGAGGAUAGUCAGGCAUGUGAUAGGGCAUCGCCUCUGAAAUAAAAGACUAACCACUGCAUCUUGCAUUCCUUCUUACAAAAAAGUAAAGAUAGCACCUGAUCGGCUUCUUUGAGUUGUGAAGACAAAACACUUCAAACCUAAGAACACUUCUCUGGCCCACAUCCAGCCUGCCAGCGAGUAUUGAAUGGGACCCAGAACAGGACUAAAUCUAUGACAAUAUCUGAGAGAAUAAAUGGAUACAAGUUGAGCCCUUUACAUGGAAAGCCAGUCUACUUCAUGAUGUGGUGAACUUUGGAAUCUGAUGCUGCUUCAUUUUGCCAUUCUGAGUUCAAAUUAAAUCUCUUGAAAACUUCUAAAAGCUCCUCAGGAAGUUUCAUGAUAGGAUGAGAAACAGCAGGGAAAGAGAAAGGCCUGAUCUGGGAAGGCUGGAGAAACUGAGGAUGGACUGGAUGACAUUGAUGCUACUGCCUCAUGACAAAAUCUGAUGCAGGUAAGCCAGGGCAACUUCAAUACGAAGACUUUGGAAUGUCUUCAUAUAUUUGAGGCUAAGUGAAGACCUCUCCACUGAAGCAGGC
rnacentral:lncRNA from 13 species